rnacentral:tRNA from 1 species
UAGCUCAGUGGUACAGCGCUUGCCUAGGAAGCACAAGGCCCUGGGUUCAAUCCCCAG